ensembl:snRNA U6 U6 spliceosomal RNA
AUGCUCACUUAGACAGCAUAUAUAUUAAAAUUGGAAGGAUACAGAGAAGAUGAGCAUGGCCCCUGCCCAAGGAUGACAUGCACAUUUGUGAAGGUUCCAUAUUUUU